UGGUAUCAUACUUUACAUCCUUUUAUUUUGUGAAUCCCUUGACUGAUUUUUAUAACUAUAUUAAUUUUAUUGCUUUUGUACUUCCUACUUAUUUUACUCCUACUUAUGGUCUUUUCUUUCCACU